rnacentral:rRNA from 1 species
UGAGUAACCUGCCCUAGGCUUUGGGAUAACCCUCGGAAACGGGGGCUAAUACUGGAUAUUCCCGCGGGAUCGCAUGGUUUUGUGGGGAAAGGUUUUCCGGCUUGGGAUGGGCUCGCGGCCUAUCGGCUUGUUGGUGGGGUGAUGGCCUACCAAGGCGACGACGGGUAGCCGGCCUGAGAGGGCGACCGGCCACACUGGGACUGAGACACGGCCCAGACUCCUACGGGAGGCAG